GUUAGAUACAUCUCAGCCAUAUCUUCAUCAUCAUCCAACAAGUGUUCCAAUUCAUCCCUAACCUUUUGAACACGGCCAGUUAUUGCAACUAAACGACUUUUAAUCUGGCGGACACGCUCUAAAUUGAGAGUACUGAUUUUUGAAGUCAGCUUAUCCAACGCUGGAUGAGCCUCUUGCUCCAGUGUUUUUGCUUCAUUUUCUAAGCAACUGCAAGCAGCCUCAAGACAUGCCUCCAAUGCAACAAAUUCAAAUGGAAGAACAUUUGAUCCAUCUCGAUUUUCAAGCCCUGUUUUCCCAUCUACCUUACAUCCCUCAUCUUGAUCCUGAGAGUGUCGAAAGCCUCCUGGAAAAUUUUUAUGAUUUUCCCUUGAUUGAGGCUCAUCAGGGUCAUACAAAUUUUUCCAGUUUGAAAAAUCACCAUUUCCCUCCUGAGCUUUUGUAGCGUUAUAAUGACAUAAAAGCCUCCUUUGCAAUUCCUCAACAAACGGUGUAACAGAGGGGUCCCUGGAAUUCAGCAAAAGAAUCUCCUGGGCUGUAAUUAUUGCCUUGAUAUGCUCCAAAUUGAUGACGAUAGCUCUCUCUCGACCCAAAAUUGUAGAUGG
rnacentral:misc_RNA from 1 species